rnacentral:rRNA from 1 species
CCCUUAGAUGUUCUGGGCCGCACGCGUGCUACACUGACGAAUGCAACGAGCUUAUAACCUUGGCCGAAAGGUCUGGGUAAUCUCCAAAUUUCGUCGUGAUGGGGAUAGAUUAUUGCAAUUAUUAAUCUUCAACGAGGAAUGCCUAGUAAGCGCAAGUCAUCAGCUUGCGUUGAUUACGUCCCUGCCCUUUGUACACACCGCCCGUCGCUCCUACCGAUUGAAUGGUCCGGUGAAGCGUUCGGACCGUGGCCUUUGGACGGUUCGCCGUCUGUUGGCUGCGGGAAGUUCGUUAAACCUUNUNAUUUAGNGGAAGGAGAANUCGUANCA